rnacentral:tRNA from 1 species
GUGCUCGUAGCUCAGUGGUCAGAGUUGUUCUUUCCGAUGAGGUCAAACUCUCGUAAUGGAACGGGUCGUAGGUUCAACCCCUGCCGGGCACG